rnacentral:lncRNA from 1 species
GUUUGUUUAAUUCGAGUCCCGUCUCUAAGAAUAAAUAAUGAACUCAUUCUGGGGGCCAGCCAGAGCCUACAACUCUGUGACGAACCUGUAAAUCCCUUUCUCUUUCCUUCUGGUUCUGAAAGGGGUUCUCUAACUCAGAGACACAAAGAGACCCAUUUGGACUCAGAUCCCUCAGUAAGGAAGAUGUGGCCGUGGAGAAAGAGGACCCCUUUCCAUACCCUCCCGACCUGGUAGCAGGGCCUGGGGCCAGACUGUCUCACAAGGGGCCAGAGAAUGUUCCCCCGGUUCCUGUGGCUUUUCCCACCGCACACGUGGCCACCAGCCUCCCUCCGACAGCUCUGACUUCCAGAGGACCCCAACUCAGAGCCAUCACGACACAACCAGCCA